UGUAAUCGAAGUACUGGAAGA
rnacentral:piRNA from 1 species